UACAGAGGGUGCGAGCGUUAAUCGGAAUUACUGGGCGUAAAGCGUGCGUAGACGGUCAUGUAAGUCGGGUGUGAAAGCCCCGGGCUCAACCUGGGAAUUGCAUUCGAGACUGCAUGGCUAGGGUGCGGAAGAGGGAAGCGGAAUUUCCGGUGUAGCGGUGAAAUGCGUAGAUAUCGGAAGGAACAUCAGUGGCGAAAGCGGCUUCCUGGUCCAGCACCGACGUUCAGGCACGAAAGCGUGGGUAGCAAACAGG
rnacentral:rRNA from 1 species